rnacentral:lncRNA from 1 species
UUAGGAUUUCCAAUAAAGUUGAUAUCACCUUGUGUCGAAUAUAAAUAUUAAAAAUAUUAUUUUUAGUAAAUUUAGCUGGUAGAGAUAAUUUAACAUGAUAUUAGAACAGGAGGUCUCCUAAUAUUUUUAAUUUUCUCUCAUUUAAUUCAAGUUCAUGUCACGAACCUAAUAAAAAGUCUCGAGUCUAAACAGAAAGUCCAUGUCUUAAACCGAGAGAAUAGUUUUGAAUAAAUUAGAGUUUAUAUAAAAAUUACUUGCCUUCUCCUUUUUGUUUGUGUAGUUGUAGAACUGAAACUUUUUCAACCAGUCCUAACAGAAAGUGAAUAACGUAAAAACUGCAGUUGUGAGAGGUGAAUUAGUAUUUUAAUUUUUUUGGUAAUUAACUUUAUUUAACGGUAAGCUAAAGCCAAUUAUGCUAAAAAACAAUAGAAGUGUGGAUUUACGGUCGAAAACUACUUCAGCCCUCUUUAUUUUCGAUAAAACAAACGCACUAAAGCCAAACUCAAAAGCACAAUUUGAAUAAGGCGCAUGAAAUGAAGUUUUGCUUUAAAACUUAGGCUCCGUUGCAAGGAGAUUGCACUACGUGCGGUGAGAAAGAACAAUAAAAAUUAUCUUGUUUAUUUUCGUACGUAAUAUUGCGUUACGCAUAUCGCGAUUAGUCGAUUAUGAUAUAUUUUCUGCAGCCUCAUCGGAAAAUGCAGAAUCAUAUCCCUAUAUUUUUUUUUCUCAACUCUAUUUUAUUUAAUAAUGUUAGAUAGAUCUUAAUACAAAACUAGACCUUAAUUGUCACGAAUUUGGACCACUCGGCCGCGCACAUGCAUGAGUUGAUAAAUUUGGUUUUUGACGCUUCUAGAAACGUUUAAUACAAGCCUCCGUUAACUAGGAGGAAAUUUAAUUCCUUCUAGAAACUUUGUCACCAAAACAAUUUUUUAAGUUUCCAGGAAAGAUGACACAUCUUAAGUCCCAUGUCACCUAUUUGACUUUGUUGCGCUCCGGAGUUCAACAGCUGCUGUACCUAGGGACGAAACUAGAAAUUAAGAUUCGAGGUGGAGUCAAAAUUUAAAUUUGAUAGAAAAAAAUUCGACCUCAGAUAGUGAAAAAAAAAAUUUGUCGAAUUUACUGAGUAGUCAUUACUAGCAACAAUAACGACAAUAUGCUUAAAGAGAAACAAGACUGUAAGAGUUGACGGAAAAGAACCAAAAAAUUCGGAAAAAAAUUGAGAGACAAAUUUUAUUAAAAAAAUUAAUUCGGCCCCCUCAUAUUAAAAUUUAUAAUAUUUUACUUUUUAUUAUAAAGGACUUCUACAUAAUGUUAAAAAAUUUAGGAGUCGUGGCCACAGUGGGCCCCUCAAUGGCUCCGCCCCUGGCUGUACUAUCACAACACCUUACAUUUUGAGAAAUCGACCUGUGAGCAUCGGUCAGAUUUAAUGUGUCUACUUAGAUAAUAAUAAAUAUUGAUCGAUCUGCUGAUAUGUAUGCUCAUCGUUGUCGAAAUAUCACGUUUUUUUUCGUUCUACCGGUUCGUCCAAGUACUUAGCCUCUUAUCUACGUAUUGGAGAGGGACCUUCUUCCAAUCACUUUUGCAGAUGGUUCUAACAUCGGUCCCUCUCCAGAAUCAUACUCGCCUUCCAGAGACGACGCUAGCAGAGACGGACUUUAUGCAUCUUCCAGCCAUCCUUUUUUUAUAAAAAUAUCUGCUGUAGGGAUGCUCUUCUUUAGAACCAACCAUCGUACUUAAACGAGAGUUCCAGUGAGAUACGUUAUCAGUAUAUUAAGUGUUAGCCGCACAUGCAUAAUAAUUACGAUGUUCAAGCAGAGGAAUCUCUAUCAACUGCUCUAAACAAUGGUGGUCAUUUUUAAGUCGAAAAGUCUAAACAAUUAACUAUCCAAAAUUUGCGACUUAGUUCCCUUUUUUUUUUUUCAACCUAUGGUUUCUUUAAUUUUAGAAAAAUCUAAUAACUACUACCUAGUCUAGUUAAUUAAUUUGGUUGUUGUUUGAGUUGAAUUUUUUGCACAUAGGGGUAUACACAAUAUUCGUUCCGUUUCAAACUAACGAGUCCUGAGUUCGAGUCGCGAUUAAUUUAAAUAAGCAUAAUUAGAGAGAGAUUUACCAAAUUAAAUUAUUCACUUGUAAACCACAAGCUUAAUUAUAAGUUACUAAACAAGCCAAAUUAUACGUGGUAGGGUUACUAAAAAGAAAAAAAUCAAUAGGCUAAGUGCCAAGUUGCAUCCAAAAUAAUAUUAAUUGUUAAUAAUUACAUCAAUUUAAUUAAAUCAAAUCAGGUGCAUUAUAUUAUUUGUGGACUAUAUAUUAGUAAUAUUUUUUUCUCUCACAUGAUCAGAAUAUAUUCUUAAUCUCUCGAAUGCUUCGCUCGAGUUUUUAUAAAAGUUUAUGUUUGAGUAGUACAGCUUAUGGUAUCUUUUCCACAAAUUCAGGAGUAUUAAAAAUUAAGGUAAAUAAAAAAAAAGAAGCUAAAUUAUAGAAAAUCUUCAUAUAAAUACCUGUUUUUUUUUAUUUUUUUUCGACUUUUACGAAUCUAUAUUUUAUCAUCUUAAAAUUUUAGAAAUAUUUUCGAGAGGGUACGAUAUUAAUGGAGAGGGCAAAAUAACUAAAUCACUCUUAUUUCUUCUAUAAGAAAAAAUAUUUUUAAUAUAUUUCUGUUAUUUUGAAGGGUAUUUUCAGUAUAAAUUAUCAAAAAUAGACGGAAUAGUGAUGGAACCCCAACGGAGGGUUGCUAAAUGCAAUAACUUGAAAUGUUGAAGAGUAAAAUGUAGGUUUUCGAAAGUUGGAGAGGAAAAGUAAAAAAAUAGAUAUUUAUAAGAAAAUUUUUUAUAAUUUAGCCUAAAAAAAUAUAAAUUUGUAAUUUAUGAUUUUUUCACUUUUAAAAUUCAAAAGUUUUAUAUUUUAGAAUUUUUUGUGAGUGCGGACGUGAAGGGCUUUUAAUAAAACAACGUAAAAGACGUACAUAAUUUAUUUGAACUUUUGCUAUCUAAUUUUUUAAAAUUUUGAUUUUGCCAUCCAACUGUUCAAUUUGUUUGAUUUGAAUUAGUCAAUAUUACUGUGACUCCAAAUUUUAAAUAUAUUGUUCAUCUUUACAAGUUUAACUAAUAUAUUUUGUGCAAUUCUUGCAAAUUUUAAAAUCAAAAACAUCAUUAUCGACUUACUUAAAUCAAACAAAUUGUAAGGUUGAAUAGUAAAAUAAAAAAUUUUAAAGAUUUGGCAGCUACUUCAAAAUAGUCGAUAGUUCACACAAGUUUUUUAUAUUUUUUCCAUAAAAUUAUUAAAAAUACUGUUAUCUGAUAGCAAAACAUUUAAUAUUUUUUUUACAUCUUUUAAAUAAGAACAAUAAUUUCUUAUACAAUUUUGCUUUCGAAGUAAUUAAUUACUUAAAUUAAUGACUUAAAUGGGUUCCAAACUCUCACUCCCGUUAUUUUCAAGGAACUUGUAUUGCACAUUAAAAUAAUAACUUUAUGGUUACAAAAAAUAAAAAAAAAAUAAAAAACUUUGUUAAUAAUUUGUAUUUGGUAUCUAACACCUCAUGUGGAAAUAAUUAAUUAAUGUAAACCACAACUAGUUGCCCUUUUCUUAAGAACCCAAUUCCCAAAUCAACGGUCACAAAUUUUUGGGACCACUUACUACUCUCUAGGGACCUUUUAAAAAUGUAUUAAAAAAAGCACAAAAAGGAAAAAAAGUAGGCUAUUACUUUAGAACUCGUGUUCUAGAUAUAAUUUCCUAAACCUGGUGUAUCAUAAAACUAAAAUUGUUUUUGAGUUUAGGGCAUGUUCGUUUCGCCGGAAGCAGCGAGAUUCAUUGUAUGCGCGAUCUCGACUUUAUCUUGGUAGGACGCAAAAUUCUGUUUCCACUCUAUAUACAAAGUCGGGAUCGGUGCUGACAAAUUGUAUACUUUUAACUAUUCCAUGCGUUCGAUCUCCGAACUUAUCGGUCUCUUUCAAAUGUCCACGUUUGUGCGAUUCGAUGAGAUAAGGAGUUUUAUUAAAGCAGAAGUUUCGACAAAACAAAUAUGCCCUAAAUGCACGGUAAUUUACCGAACUUUUGGUCGUUCGUAGAUUUGCAAUUCAAACAGUCAAAAAUUUUAAACUAACCACUUAGAUAUAUAUAUUUCGAGUCCGGCUAUAAUGCUUGUAAAAGCACCAAUCACUUUGUGCUCGUAGGUUUUUAACCGUUAGAUCAGCACUGUUGAUCAUUUACACCUGUUAGAUUAUACUAUUCAACCAACCACCCACUCAACCCUAGAGGAUCCACAUCAUCCUAACCACAUAUUUUUUAAUCUAAAGGCCAAAAACUUAUAAGCACCAAUGUCUUGGUACUUUUAAAAGCAUAAGAGCUCAAUUCUAUAUAUUUCAUCAAUUUAAAACGACUGAUAUCAAUCAAAUAGUCAAGAAACAAUAAAAAGACACGUGUAAGUGACAUAAAUAAUUCUUCUGAAUAAUCAAAUUUUCUUUCGAUGGUAAAAUUAACCAAAAUUUUUAUAUUCAAUUAUCGACAAGCAAAUUAUCAUAUGCCAGUAACAUACAUUUCUAUCUUUUUUUUUCCUUUUUUUUUAAAAAAAAAAAUUUGUUUGUGUUUAGGGAUCUCCUACAUUUAAUCUUUGGGAAACACUAGCCUAUAAAGGAACACUGUGGUGUGUGCAAAAAUUUUGCUUCAUUGAGGAAAAGAACAAAGUAUAAUGGUCCUUAAUUUCUCUCCCCUCUUCUGAAACUUAUUGCACAGCAUCGUCACCCUAUCUCAUCCCCUACUUCUUGAGAUGAUCUUCGGUAUAGCAGUUGCAUUAUAUUAUAAAUAUAUUUCGAGCCAAUCAAUUUUUUCUUUUUUUUUUUUGAAAAAAAGGUACAAUAAUUUUUAUCUUUUUAAAAAGAUCUACGAUGAGAUAAAUAAACCACAGAAACACAAUUUGAUUGGUUAAAAGCAUGACGACAUGAUAUUACUGUUAUAUUUUAGAUUUUUUUUUUCCUAUAUAAUAUUAUUGGCAAAAAGCUUAAUGACAUAUAUUUGAGAUUUUUAAGUUAAAAUUUAAUUACUUUACAUUUUUAGCCCUAUGUUGCUCUUUUUUUUUUUUGUGUGGACGGAAAUGGCUUUCAAUAAAUGACUAUUCCAUUUAUUAUUUGUCGCGCUGUGUGAUGUAAAUAUCAAAUAAAAAUUGACGGUGGACAAAACGGUCCCACGAAUUUAAUAGCUCUAAAGCUAUUGAUAGUUACAGUUUUUUUUUUUUUCUUAAUUUCUACGGUGUGCGAAUUUAGUUUGACUCUCGCUUGGAGCACAAAGACGUUACGUCUCUGGCUCGUUUGGUUCGAAAAUUAGUAGAAACUAGUUAUAUCGGAAAUAUGUACAAAUAUAAAUUUUUGUAAGAAUAAAAAUAUUUUUUUUAUUUGGAUGAAAUUAUGAGUAUAAGCUGGAACUAGAAAAAUUAUAUUUGGAUGGUUAUUGAGAAUAAGAAAAAUAGUUGAUGUAUAAAUAAAAAAUAAUGAUAUUACUGCUGUAAUUAAAUUUUAAAUUUUAAACUUAUAAUUUUAAAUUGAAAAUUUUAACUUUUAAAUUUUAAAAUUUAAAAUUUAAAUAUUCAAAUUUAUAAAUUUUAAAUUUUAAAUUUUAAAUUUAAGACUAAAUUUAAAUUUGAAAUAUAUAAAAUAUCAAACUUAAAGUUUAAAAAUUUAUAAUAAUAAAUUUAAAUUUUAAACUUUAAAAUUUAAAAUUUAUAAUUUAUAAUUUAUAAUUUUAAUUUUAAAAUUAGAAAAUUUAAAUUCUAAAUUUUAAAACAAAACUCUCUCUCUCUCUAUCUCUCUCUCUCUACCCAGUGGGUGGGAACAACAGUUCCCACCUCUUAAGAGGUGGGAUCAAUAGUUCCCACCAUAAACAUUUCUUGUUUGGGUAUAAAGGGAAUAGCCCUCUUAUCCCCCUUUUAUACCUUUAUCCCUCUUUAUAUUCGAUUCAAACGGAGUGUAGAGAUAUUUGUUUAAAUAUUUUAUAAAUACACGACCUAAAUUUUUUAGCUCGAAAUUUUUUCAGCUCGAAAUUUUAACAGGCUGAAUAUGAAAAGCACUAAAUACUUAGUGCUUAUACGUUUCCCACUAUUAAAUUUACUCUUUUGAUCAUUUUUACCGAUUAAAUCAUAUUAUUCAAUCAAUCACCCACUCAAUUAAUUUUUAAAAAAAUUAUCAUCCUAACCUACUUUCCUUAAUUCAAGGACCGAAAGCCUACAAGUAUUAAUAACUAGUCAUUUUUAAAAGCAUAGAAACACAAUUCAUAUAUAUAUAUAUAUAUAUAUAAUUUAGAUUUUAGGCCAAUCAAAUAAUAAGAAGAUCUAUAUUUUAUAAAUUAAAAUUAUUAAAUUAAAAUUAAAAUUUUUAAUUUUUUAUUCAGCAAUAAAAUUGAUAAUUUCACUUGUUGCUUGUAAGCCAUCUCAAACCGAACAUAAUUUGUAUUUUUGAAAUCAUGCUUUAAAGGAUCAGUUUGUGUUUAGCUCAUUUAAUAAAGGAAAAUUUUCAAACACCCUCCCGGGAUUUCGCACUUUCUCAUUUUAGUACCCUAUGGUUUAAAGUGUAUCAAGUUAGUACCCUGUGGUUUCGCACUUUCUCAUUUUAGUACUCUGUGUUUUCAAGUGUAUUAAAUUAGUAAGUAUCAUGUGGUUUUAUUUUUCUAUCAAGUUAGUAUCCAGUUGUUUCAAUUUUCUCCUUUUAUUAUUAAUUUUAGGGUAUAUAAUUUAAUGAAUAUUAAACCACAGGGUACUAAAAUGAGAAAAUACGAAACUAUAAGAUAUUAACCCACAAAGUACUAACUUAAUAUACUUGAAACCACAAGAUACUAAAGUGAGAAAGUGCGAAACUACAUGAUACUAACUUGAUAAACUUUAAACCACGGAAUACUAAAAAUGAGAAAGUGCGAAACCACGAGGGUAUUUGAAGUUUCCUUUUUAAUAAACAAACGAAAAUGCAGUGGUCCCAAUUAGCUCAUGGUCAGCUCGCUGAGAUGAAUGAAAACUGGACACGUACAGUAGUCCACGAAAUGCGCGCAUACACCAGGUUCAGUGAAAAAUACCUUGUCAUCUUCCUCCCCCUUUCGUAUAUAUAUAUAUACAUACAUAUAUGAUAUCCAAUUGGGACAAUGACUCAGUAGUUUUAGCUAUACUUUUCGCUUUCCCUCGUUCUCGUUCUCGCCGCCAUUAAAAUUUCCUCGAAGCUCGCUCCAUCCAUUUCUCCCCACAUAUAUAUAUUUUUAGAGAGAGAGAGAGAGAGAGAGAGAGGGAGAGAAAUGGGGGAGGUGUUCGAAUCGUGCGUGGUGGGUCCGAGCGAGGAGACGCCGCGGCACGCUCUGUGGGUGUCGAACCUGGACUCGGUGGCGGCGCGUGGGUUCACGCCAACGGUCUACUUCUACCGGUCCGGUCCGGCCGGGCCGGCCGGGGAGGCGGUGGCGGCGCUGAAGGCGGCGCUGGGCCGGGCGCUGGUCCGGUUCUACCCGCUGGCCGGCCGGCUCGGGGCGGACCGGUCCGGCCGGGUCCGGAUCGAGUGCACCGGCGAGGGCGCGGCUUUUUCCGCCGCCCGGUCCGAUUCGACCGCCGACGAGUUCGCCCGCGACUUCGCCCCCUCGCCGGACCUUCGCCGGCGCUUCGUCCCCCCCGCCGACUCCGCCGAUCCCCCCUGCCCUUUGCUUAUGCUUCAGGUUCCUCCCCUUCUCUCUCUCUCUCUCUCUCUCAUUAUUAUUAAUUAUUAUUAUUAUUAUUUUUAUUACUAUUGGGAUUCUAGAUCUUUCCGAAUAUUUGAAAAUAUUUGUAAAAAUUUAUAAUAAUAAUAAUAAUAAGAAAUAGGCUGGAAUACUAUCAAUAGCGCCAAAUUAUUAUUACUAUUAAUUUUUUAGCACUUGAAUUGAAAAAUAUGCGGUUAGAAUGAUGUGUGCCCUCUAGGGUUAGUGAGUGGUUGGUUGAAUAAUAUAAUCUAACGGAUAAAAAUAACCAAAUCAUUAAAUAUAAUGGUGGAAAACUCGAUAGCAUCGGACCCUUAGUGCUAUCGAUAGUAUCCUAACCGGACUCUAAUAAUAAUAAUAAUAAUAAUAUUUUGGUCCGUAAAAAAUAUAUUAUAAAAUAUUUUUAAAAUUUAGAUAUUAGUCAUAUUUAGCUAAUCUGAUAAAGCUAAGUUUGGAAUUUUAUGCCCUUGUUCAGCUCGAAGUGGGAAUUAAAGUGCCCUUUGUUAAUUUUUUAAAAUUUGUUCAAAUAUCUUCAAAAUUUUAAAAUUUGUUAGUAAAAUUUAGAGUUUAGAAGAAUAUUUUAAAAAUAGAAGUGCAAAUUUUUUAAAAAAUUGAAUAGUGGUUGGAAAUGUAGAAAGAAAAGUUUCUUAUUUAAUACCUGCCAACUGUCCUAGGCAAUACUAGCUCUCUCUCUCUCUCUCAAUUGAUUUACACUUUUUUUUUUUUUUUGUCCUAUAUUUAUAGGAUAAACUAUAUAAAUAGUUUUCGCACUGUCUCUAUUUUGUGGUUUGGUUUUUGUAUUUAGUUCUUAAAUGUAAAAUAAUCUAAUAACUAACUACUGGCUAGUCUAGUGCAGUGUUAGUUAAUUCGCGAAUUGUUCGCCAAUUUUUGAGAAAAUGAAUUAAACUAUUGAAUUCGUAUUUUCCUGGAAAAUUCGCAAAAAAAAUGUAUUUUUUGGGGGAAAAAAAACCUAUUUGCGAAUUAUUCGCGGCGAAUUAUUCGCCCAAAAAAAGGGCCCGUGUCCCCCCCCCCCAACAAAAAAAAAUCACUAUCAAAAAAAUUUAAUCUCUUAUGUAUUAUUUUAAUCUUUUAUUUACUUAAUUUAUUAUUUAUUUUGAGGUAUAAUAUAGUUUGCUAUUUUUUUACUUAAUUAGCUUAAUUUGUAGUUCUUUUUUCUUAUAUUCUUAGGAAAUAUGAAUAUUUAUGCUAAUAGCAUAAAUUUUGAGAGAAAAAAAGUUUAAUUUAAUAGCCGAAUUUUUUAUCCCGAAUUUUUAAUUGAUGAACGUAUAAUAUCCGUAUAAAUCACGUGUCCGAAUAAUUGACGAAUCCGUUUUUUAGCCGUAUUUUUCAACAAAUUUAAAAAUUAGAAGACGAAUUUUAUCCGAAUUAUACCCGUACCGAAUUUUUGCUGAAUCCGAAUUAACUAACUAUGGUCUAGUGAUUUAUUAUUUGGGUAAACUUUAAAUAUUAUUCCUAUAAUUUUGUAUUUUUUUAUUUUAGCAUUAUGUGGUUAAAAGUGUAUUAAUUUAGUAUUAUGUAGUUUUUUUUUUUUUAUUUUCGUCAGUCCUUCCGUUAAUUUUUCGUUAAAUUAUAUACAAAAAUUUCAAAUAUUUCACAUAUAGUUUAUCAAAUAUUUGCUUUAUUAUUCUUUAGUUUUAACUUUGUCACUAAUUUAACAAAAAAAAUUACUGAAAGGAGAUAAUAAAAAGAGAAAAAUAAAAUCGUAGGGUAUAAAGGUGAUACAUUUUAAAUUAUAGGAUACCAAAGUGAGAAAGAACGAAACAUAGAAGUGAUAUUUAAAGUUUUUUUCCUUAUUAUUUUUAAUAAUAGAGUUUUUUUUUUAAAUAAGAGGUCAAGGAUUUAAGGUUCCCCCUACAAGCAUGAUAAAUAUUUGGGGAAAAAAUUCUAAUUUUUUAUAAAAUAACCAAUUAAUUUGUAGCCUUUCAUUGAAAAUAAUUUAUUUUUUUAGUACACUUUUAUAAUGUCCUUUUUCUAAGAAGUACUCAAGUGAGUAAAUUAAAAAGUAUGGAGACUAACUUGCCACGUGGACAAAUAUGCAAGGACCAUCCAUAUAUAUUUUGCCCUUAGAUUUAUUAUUACUGUUCUAUAAUUUGUUUUUAAUUUUUGACCUAAAUAUUCUAUAUUUUAUUGAUUUGGGGGUGUUUAGUAGAAUAAUUUUUUUGCUUAGAAUUAAUUAGCAUAAAUUGCGUUUUAGCUCUAGAAAUUUAAUGAUAUUACUCCGUAUUUUGUAUGUUCGAUUAGCAUUUUCUAAUUUUAAUAUUUUAUUUUGGGUUUUGUUUAAUGAAUGCUUGGGUGUUUAUACUUUAUAAUGAUAGUUAGCCAUGUUACAUCAUUGACUUAAUUGGAAAGGAUUAAUUACUUUAACUAGCAAAUUAAUUUGGUCGUUUUAGGUCCCAAAUGAUAAUUCAUACAAAAUGCUCUUUUUUUUUUUCAUUUAUAGAAAUAGCGAUUUGGAAAAGCAAUUUUUUAUUUAAAAGCAUUUAUAAAAACUUUUUUUUGUAAUUUUUAUUAUAAUUAUAUUAGGAGUUUCAUAUUAGAGUUUCUGUAUAAAAUAAAAUAAAUUAGGAGUUUCAUAUUAGAGUUUUUUUAAAAAAAUUUUUGGGGUUUAGGGAGCUUAUAAUGUUGUUUAUUUUUUAAAAAAAUAUUGUUAUUAUAAAAAUAAAAGAGAACUUGUUUAAGAAGCUUGAUUAAAUUGUUUAUUUUUAUUUUUCUCUUUUAUAAGAUAACGUUUGAAACAAGUUAGUGGAAGAAUACAAUUCCCCCUAGACUUUUCUCUUAUAGCAUUUUUAUUAGUGUAUGAUUUAAUUGACUAGUGCAGGGUUUAAUUAACUAAUGAAGGAUUAAUUAAUGAGAUCUCGAAUCUGAGUACGUAUUAGUGUUGCUAAUUUGAGUUGAAUACACCAAAAUGACUUUAUAAUUAAUCUCUACUUUAAUAAGCAUUAAUUAGAAAUAAUUUAAAAAUAAUCUUAACAUAUUCAAAAACAAAAAAAAAUAAAAAAUAAAAAGGAAGGUUGAAAUUUAUAACUUUGAAUCAGUAGUGUGGACAUGUUUCUUUUAAAUUAUUUAAACGAGAAUCUUAAACUUUUAAAUUUAGAAAUUUUUAUUCUGAUAUUAUAUAAAGUAAUUAAUUUUUUAAGUACUCAUCUAUGCAUAGAAGAAUAAUAAUAUCUUUUAUAUGGGAAUAUUUUGUCACCAACAAAGAGGGAAUAAAGUGUGUUGUAUUAGAAUUUGAUUUCUUAGUAAUUACUUAAUAAAAAGGAAGAGCAUAUAUACAAUAAAUAUAUUGGUGUUUUCAGAAAUAUUCAUUUUUUAAUUAGGAUAUUAUUUUUAUCUUUAAAUAAAAAUGGUUUGAAAUAUAUAAAAUUGUAUAUAAACUAAAGUUGUGAUAAUUGUAAUUAAAGUUGUACAUUGGAAUAUAUGUAUACAUGGAGUUUUGGGACUUUAUAAUAUACUCUUCUUGUUUAAUCUUUAAAGUCAACUCCAAACAAUAAUCUAAAUUAAAAUAUUUAUAAACUUAUAAGAAUAGUUGAGCUAAGUUGAAACAUUUUAAUGCUUCAUAAUUGAAUAGAGCAUAUUCUUUGGGUACAAUGUAUAGAGAAAAUGAUAGUUUAGUAAUGCCUAUUUUUAUCAUUUAAUAUAGUAAAUAAAAAUAAGAUAAAAAUCUAUUGUGCUCACCCUCAACUAUCUCUUAUUUUCAUAUGACUAAAUUGUUAAAAAUUUCAAUUUUGUUAUUUAAUUUUUUAAUCUCCUAAAUUUGAAUCAGUUAAUGACUUUUCAACUUUAAAAUUUAAAUAUAUUGUUUGUCUCUACAGAUCUAAUAAGUAUACUUUAUGUAAUUAUGUAAUUAUAAAUUUUGUAUCGAAAAAGUCAUCAGAUGGCUUGAAUCAAACAAACUGAAAGACUUUGUGUUAAAAUUAAAAUUUUAAAAAAUUAAAUAAUUAUAUCAAACUAGUCUAUAAUUUAGAAAUGAACCGUACAAUUUUAAUGUAAUUAAUGCAAUAAAAAAGUUAAAUAAUUAUUGGUAAUUUAUUAUUGAUUAAAAUAGUUUCAAUUUCUUUUUUUUAUGAUGAUAAGGAGAGAGAACUAAUAAGUUGAGUAGAAUUGCGGUUCAUAACAAAUCCAACGAUAAAAAAUUUAAUAAUAGAUAUAAUGCUUAGAUAAAUUUAAUCAGAUCGAAAUUCGUGAGCGUUGUAACUGAGCUUUUAACUGCGAAAGUGCGCUUUUCUUAUUACCACCUAUUUUUGGGAUAGAGGGACAAGUGGACAAGUGGGGACACACUCAUUUAUAUUGUGGUAUCUUUCAUUGAUUGAAUGUCACAUCAUUCCAUGAGAUAGCUUCUAGAUGCUCCCCCAAAGUUUUAUUUUAUUUCUUGGCCUAAUGAUAUACCAUUCAUUUUUAUAAUAUUUUAUGCUCAAUGAUUCCACGAGAAAUAAUAAAUAAAAAGGUACUAUUUGUACAUCUCAUUACAAGUUUAAAUGUAUGGAGAUCUCCUCCACUAUAUGCCAUUUUGAAAUAGACCUCUUCAUUUUUACUUUUUUUUUAACUAAAAAUAUAGAGAAAUUAUUUAAGGUAAAAUAUAUAUAAAAUUUAUCUGAACUAUGGACUAUUUAUAUUUGGCCAGUCAAUCUUUUAAAAUUUUAAUUUUACUAUACAGUUUUUCAAUUUAUUUGAUCUGAGUCAGUCGACGAAACUUUGACUCUAAAAUUUAAAUCAGUCGUUUAUUUCUAUAAGUCUAGUUAAUAUAUUUUUUGCAACUCUCGUAACUAUAAGUUUAUUAAAGUAAGUAAUUUAUUAGAUACAUCACAUUUUUAAUUUAUUGAAAUCAAAUAUAUAUUUUUUAAUGAUUAUUAGUACACAAUCGUGUACAUAUAUACUAAUUUAAACCUAACAACCAUGAAGUCACCUUAUAUAUGUACAGAGACAUAGAGUAUAGAGGUUUUGAUAUUUAUAAGUCGUUUUUUGUGGUAGAGUUUUCAAAUCCACAAUCUAUACUGUUAAACAUAAUUAAGAAAAUAAAAUGCUCAGAAAUCAAAUUUUAUAAAAUUUUGAAGCUAAAAUAAAGUGUAGCGAGCGGAUAUAAAAUGAACGAUUAAAUCGAACGACCCGCACAAAUAGUUUAUAGGGUUCUUCAAUUCAUAAUCGAAGUUAUUGAUUCUCUAAAUUAUAUUUAACAGUAUAAAUUGUUGAUUCGGAAGUUGUACUAUUAAAAAUAACUUAUGAGUACAAAAAUGAUAUGAGUCGGACUCUUUUUACGUAUAUAUAGAGAGAGAGAAUUGGGUUGGAAUACUCUUUAAUAGUAUCAAGUUGUAGCUGCGAUCCAGUUUUUCACAAUUAGAUUUAUCCUUUAAUUAAUUCCACCCUUUAGAUUGUUGUAUUUUAUCGACCAUCCACUAAAUCGUGGAGAUCAUUAUCAUUCCAAUCCUAUAAUUUUUUAUCCAAGGGUUAAAACUAGAUAUGAUUCAUUAGCCGGAUACUAUUAAAAGUAUUUCAUUCCGACUCUAUAUAUAUAUAUAUUUAUAUAGAGUUUUGCUAGAAUACUAUCGGUAGUAAACGGCUCGGUUUACUACCAAUUUGUUUUCGAUGAUAGAGCUUCCAAAUUGAUGAUCGACACCGUUAAAUAUGAUCUAAACUAUUUAAACUAUCUAGAAAUCAAAUUUUACACAUUUUCGAUAUUGUUCUCUUGUCCAUCAAGUGAACAGAAAAAUGAAUGGCUGGAAAUAAAUAUCCUUUAAAAAGUGAUGAUACAAUUUUUAUAUUUGAGAUCUAGAGUCUAGAUCUUAUUUUAAAUAGUUUAAAGAAUUUUUUAACAAAAAUUUAAUUGAUUUGAACUCUUCUAUACCGUUAAACGAGCAAACGCACCAUAUCGGCCAUUAAAAUUAUAGAUUUUGUGACCCUUUGAUCGUUCAGUUAGUGAUGCCAAAAAAUUAUGAAAUUUGAUUUCUAGAUAAUUUAAAUGGUCUAGAUCAUGUUCAACGGUGCCGAUCGUCGAUUUGGAAGCUCUAUCAUCAAAAACAAAUCGGUAGUAAACCGAGCAGUUUACUAUCGAUAGUAGUCCAGUCAAACUCUAUUUAUAUAAUAGAUAAUUGAGUUAGGGAUCUCUUUUUGCUAUUAUAUACACUAUAAACAAACACAGGCUAAAUCUUAGUGGGCCGAUUUUUAUGGGCCUGAAUUUGGCCUCAUUUUGUUGGUCAUUUUUUUUAAAAAAAAUUAGAAUAAAAUUUUUAACUUAACUAACUAGAAUAACUGUUUUGUGCACUCAGGUGACAUUCCUGAAGUGCGGGGGCAUGGCACUAGGCUUUGCCAUCCACCACCUGGCCUUCGACGGCCGCGGCGCAUCCCUCUUCAUCCAAACCUUCUCCCGCAUCGCCCGCGGGGCCGACCUCGCCUCCCUGCCCCCGCCCUUCUUCGACCGCACCCUCCUCCGUGCCCGCUCCCCGCCCUCCGUCCUCUUCGACCACUCCGACUCCACCGCCUUCUCCGACAGCAACGCCAACAAUGACAACACCGCCGCCGCCGCCGCUAUUGUGUCGCCGGUCGUCACGGCCCACCUCGCGCUCUCCAAGUCCCAGCUCCAGUCCCUCAAGUCGCGGUGCGGCUCCGCGACCGGCCCCGCCACCCCGCGGGUCUCCACGUUCCGCGCCGUCGUCGCCCACGUGUGGCGCUGCGCCUGCAUCGCCCGCGGCCUCGCGGGCGAUGUCCAAACCGAGUUAUACCUCCCCGUCGACGUCCGCGCACGUCUCGUCCCACCACUCCCCGCAGGGUAUUUUAUAUUCAUCACUCCUUUUGUCUUAGACUCAAAAUACUUUGAUAGGCUGAAUACAUAAACUUUAGAUCUCUCGUCUCUAGAGAAUAGUGCUUUAAUAUUUUAUAUUCGACAGGUACAUCGGCAACGCGGGGAUCCGCACGAAGGCCGUCCUGACCGUCGACGAGCUCAUAUCGAGCAGCUUCGCCGAUAUCGCCGAGACGAUCCAGAACGCGGUCGACCGCGUGAACGACGACUACGUGCGGUCGUUCAUCGACCACCUUGACACGGCGGACGCGAACACCCUGUCGCGGCGGGGGGCGCUGCCNAUUUUAUAUUCGACAGGUACAUCGGCAACGCGGGGAUCCGCACGAAGGCCGUCCUGACCGUCGACGAGCUCAUAUCGAGCAGCUUCGCCGAUAUCGCCGAGACGAUCCAGAACGCGGUCGACCGCGUGAACGACGACUACGUGCGGUCGUUCAUCGACCACCUUGACACGGCGGACGCGAACACCCUGUCGCUGCCGCGGACGAGCCUGUGCGCGAUCAGCUGGCUCGGGAUGCCGAUGCACGACGCCGACUUCGGGUGGGGGGAGCCGGAGUUCAUGUCGCGGGCGCAGAUGUACGGUAGCGGGUAUGUCUACUUGAUGAGCACCCCCGGAAACGAGGGGGGAGUCUCAGUUAUACUGGGGCUGGAGAAUGAGAGCAUGAGGCUGUUCAAAAAGAUAUUCUAUGAGGAGCCUGCUUGUAUAGAGGGGUAAAGUUCGAAUUGUGAAAGAAUUACACGAGCGCGAUCUCAAACUACUACUACAAUUUGAGCCGCUCCUACAAAUUUAUAUAGUAGUGAAUCACGAGGCGCAAUCGUGCGUUGCCUCGCGAUGCGUGAUCAGCCACGUAUGCGGUAGGUGUUUCUAUUUCAAGUUGCUCUCAAUCGAGACCGGUCGGCGCUGUCGAUUGAUUGCUGAUCAUGUAAACUUGGGGUUUUAGUCAUGUACUUGGGGCAACUUUUACUGUUUUUGUGAUCUUUUAGAGAACUGAUAUGCUUUGUAAUAAUUUUACAGUAAAUGGUUACACUUUUAUUUGUGAGUAUUUACAAAAGUAUAAAGCUUAAAAAAUAGAUUCAGCCAUUCCAAAUACAUGAAUUUUAGAACUAAAAAUUAAAGAACAUACACUAGCAUCGUAUUAUUUCUUUUAAAAAGUUGUGAAUGAAUGAAUCUGAUAGCUUAAACUUUGUAGGAAUAUAUUUGUUAUUCGAUAUUUUUAGUGAAGCACGUUUCACCGUCGAAUAAUGAGAUUAUAAUGUUUUCUUUUCGAUACCGAGCAGAAGCCUCACCCACAUCGAGAGAGCGCAACAAACAACAUCCAAAGUUGGAUUUUGGACCAGGCUGUUCUGGGCAUGUUCGAAUUGGAAUAACUACAAAUACGUUACAACGAUCUCGGUCCAAAAUGAUCUAAGUCGGAUCGUAUCGGAGCGUGUCAAAUUGAGAAAUCAUGUCUCGGACUAGGUUAACCGAAAAAAACGAAAAGCUCCGGCCUCGGUUGGCUUAACUCGCUAAUAAUUCGGUAAAGAGGACUAGAUUGAUAGCAAUAUAUGUCGAUGAAAAUCGCGCUAACUAAAUGAUCUAAAUGAUUGGACUUAAAACCCUAGCCUGGGAAGAGGAGAGCGAUAGCUCUACAGCCCAGUGUGCAGCUAUUUCUAUCAAAAAUUAGGUUGAGAUGAUCAGAUCAGGUAAAGUCCGGACGAAUUUGCUCAGGCCUACUAGUAGCUAUAUUUUUUUAUUGAUUUGGAUUGUAAAUUUAUUUACUAAACAAUAAUUGUGGUGUUAGUUUAUAAUACACUCUCCUUAUUUUUUUUAUGUGUUUUUUGGAUUUUCAUUUGUAUAUUCUCUUUUGUGUUGUGUGGAUGCAUGCCUCAAUAUUUUUCCCAAGUUUAUAUUCGAUUUUACCUAUAAAUUUUCUUGUCAAAAAAAAAAACAAAAGAAAAAAAGCAACUCAAAUGCGAAAUAGAGAAUCCCCCAAUUCAUAGAUAUAUACUACUAUUAGGAAGAGUUGGGUUAUAAUCGUUAUGACCUAAUCCGUUAAUAACAAUAAUUCGUUAGGUCUAAACCACCGGCCCAAAAUAAUUAAGCCAAUAUAUUAUUACUAACAUGUAGGCCUCAUAUAUUAUAAUCAAAAUCAGUUUCCACCUGGGAGUUAUAAUUUUGCCAAAAUAUAUAUAUAUAUCAAAACAAAGGUGACGAUAUUAGGAUUUGAUUAGAUUGUAGUUAUCUAAAAUAUAUAUUAAUAAAAGUCUAAUUAGAUUAGUAGAAAAAUAUAGAUUGAGAUUUAAGUAUUUAAGAGAUUAAUUUGGAUUAGAGUACUAAUCCUAAUUGAACUCUAAUGAGACUAUGUUAGAUAUAGCUUACAUCAAAGUGCCUUGUCGCAUCUGUGUUAGUUACGGAUUUAUACAAGACGAGAGAAAGGUGAUAAAGAUUUAGAAAGUGACAAAGUAAUAAUCCAAAUUUUAUUAGAAUUUAACUCAAAGUUUCAGUAACAAUAAGAUUUAAUUAUCCACAUCACAUUUAUAAUAAUCAUGUUUAAAGUCCACAUGGUUAGAAUUGAUUGGUUAUCUUAUUCCAACCCUGAAGCCAUCAUAAAUUCACAACUGAGAUUCUGAUUGAUAAAAAAUUUCUCUGUACCUUUACCCUAUUAUUCUAUUUUAAUAUUUUAUUAAAUAUUAAAUAAUUAGUAUCAGAGAAAAUAACGCUUCGAACAGAACGAUGCUCUCGAAAUUUUUUUUUCAUCUUUUGUAAUUUCUUUUCUUCUUUGUUUUUCUUUUUUGUGGUUGUACAUAAUUUUAAUACGGAGACAGGAUUAUGGUAAAAACUUUAUUUAGCGCUUUCAGUAAUUAGUAUCAGAGCAGAUUAAUUACUGGUUCUCUAUAGAUAAUCGAUCUAAUUGAGAGCUCAUUACGAAAGAUCGAAGGGGUGAUUUAAAUCGAUGAUUGGUUACUUUCUUAACAUUCUAAUAUUCUGUAUAGUGUAUGGAGCAUUGGUAUGCACUAAGCGCAAGCAAAGAUUUUUUCUCUGUUUUGAAAUUAUGAGUGCAUCCUAUUAAACAUUCUUUAUACUAAGUACAUAUUUGUACAUAUACCACAUGCCUAAAUAGAAAUUUCAAAAUUAAUUCAUCAAAUAUAAUUUAAAUUCUUAGACUUUUUAGAUCAUAUAUAUUUAAUUAACCAAACAAUCGUGUACUUAUAACAUAAAUAUACCAAACUAAUUAAAUAAUGUAUUUAGAUCUUCAUGUAAUUGUAAUUGCUUUAACCAAACAAUUGCAAAGUUUUUUUUUUUUUAUGAAUGUAAAAGUUUUCUAAUCAACGAUAUAAUUAGUAACUCAGUAUUUUACACAUUACAUAAAUAAAAUAUAUUUCUUGUUACGGUUCGUUUAAAUUAAUGCUACUUGAGUAGUGUUAUUAUAGAUAAUUUGUGAUAACACUAAAUUAAUUAAUGCGCAUAAUUAAUCGUAAUCACGCGAGAAAUGGACGUAACGUGCACGUUCUUAUAAGAAAUUAAAAGAAAACUAAAUUAAGGUGAAAAGUUAAUGCUAUAUAUAUGUAGCCUAAAAUGUAUUAUAGUUAAUAAUACUCCAUCAGCUUUACGAAGUUCUCUAACUAAUAUUGUUAAUAAUAGUAAUAAAAAAAAUAAUAUAUAUUUUUUAAGACAUGUGAUCGUAUUAUUAUAGCACAGAUAAAUUUGUCACCAUGUCCAUCGAAGAAAUUAAAAAUUAAAAAAUGAUAGUGACUAAUUAAUUAUAUAUUAUAAGGAAGGUUUGAGAGUGGGACACAUAUAUAAGCAAAAAAAAAACCAAAAAAAAAAAGAAAUUGUCACGUAGUUAAUUUAAUUGUAAUCAAUGCCCAUCUAAUUUAUUAGUGGGGUGCUCGAGUCCACGCCUUUAUUGAAAAAAAACAAAAAGGUUAUAAUUAUUAUGGGGAAAGAUUCUGGAACCUAUUGAUUAGAUAAUCUUAAAAAAAAAUUAUUAUCUACUCUAUUAAUUGGGUGCUUAGCUUUUUUGUUAAAAAAUUACUAUUAAUUAUGGAGAAAGAUUCUGAGAUGGCAUCUAAUUAAUAAUAUUACUAAAAAAUUACUAAUAUUAGUAAUUUUUUGUUAAAAAAUUACUAAAAUUUUUUUUUAAAAAAGAAUUAACGACUAGUAUAAUUGGCUGAGAAUUUAAUUAUUGGUAUAUGAGAUUUCGGGUUGCUUCAUAUUUUUCGUUAAGUUUAUUUUUAAAAAUUAGGAGCAAUUAUUUAUAUAUUUCUAAAAAAAUUUAAAUUUUUUUAUUCACGAAUUUUAUAAGACUAAUAUUGAAAAUACUCUUUUAAAAUUUUAAAAAUUUUCAAAUAUUCUUCGAGAGUUAAAUUCAAGUUCCCUUGGGUCUCACUCAUUUUAAAUCAUUUUAGUGAAUCUUCAUUAAUUAAUGCUCACCAAAAUCCACAUCCAACAUUAUAUUUGGGUCUCACUCAAAUUCAAUACAAAAGCUGACACGGCACGUUCUUAAUUAUUAAUCCUUUCUGGCUAUUGUAAUUAUCAUUUUAUCUGUAAAUUAAAUCUCUCUUCAUAUAUAUAUAUAUAUAUAUAUAUAGAGAGAGAGAGAGAGAGAGAGAGAGAGAGAGUGGGGCUGGUAUACUAUCGGUAGCACGGAGUCCUCCGUGCGAUCAAAUUAUUUUUAAUGAUGCGAUUUUCAAAUCGACGAUCGACUCUGUUAGACUUGAUCUAUACUGUUGAAAGUAUUUAGAAACUAAAUUUUAUAAUUUUUCGACAUCGUUUAGUCAGUGAUCAAAAGAAGAGUGCUCCACGCACUUUAAUAUAUAUAUAUAUAUAUAUCAAUAGAAAUAGAUGCUUUUAGAAGUAAACGAAAUCGUUUACUUCUCCAUUACUUUAAUCGGUGAUCGAUAUUAUCAAAUUUGAUCUAAAUUUUUUGAAUAAUUUAGUUUUCAAAUUUCCCAAUUAUACGGCAUUAUUUUGAAUUUUUAAGGCUAAUAUAGAGUGAAUUUACGAUCAUUUGGUCACUCAGACAAAUGAUAUCGUGAAAUCCUAAAAUUUAAUUUUAAAAAUAUUUUAAAUAAUUUAAAUUAUAUUUGAAUUUACUAUAGUCUCAAACGACAUAAGUUUUUAUUUAUUUCUAAAAAUAUUCUAGUCUAAACUUUCAUUUUAUAAGUCUUGUUAGAAGCCACGUAGCUUGAUAGAAUAUAUGCCACAACUUUAUUUUGUUAUUUUUUAUACAUAUUUUUUGGGCCUUACAUGCAAAAAACAGAAAAAGAAAAAUCACUCGUGAUAGCUAAGGAAAUUUAUGUACGUCUAUUUUUAGACUCUCAUGCAUUAAUUAUGUACACUUAAAAAUUAUAAUUAAAAAAUAUUUUAUUAAUUUUCAUACAUAAUAUCGUAUUAUAGCUUAGUUUGGUAUUAAGGCUCUGAUUUAACUCUAUUUGAUAAAAUAGAGUUGGGAUAAAAAUAGAUAGGCACGUAUUUCUGUAUUUUUCGAUAGUAUUGUAGAAAAUAUAUCGUAACCGACUCAUCGCGAUAUGCGGAACAUAAUAUUACGCAUAGAGUAUUUUUUCAUUAUACUUUCUCAUCGCAUGUAACGCAAUCUCUCUGCAAUUCCAAACGAAGUCUACGUAUAUUAUAAUAACUCAGUUACGAUAAAUUUAAGGAUUAAUUACAUAUAACUUUCUGUAAACAUAUCAAGUGUUAAAUAUAUUUCUAUAAAGUUCAACUUUUUUUAUAUUUAUCUCUACAAAAGUUCUAACAUUUUUAAAUAUAUUCUUAGAUUUGUUAGAAAAAUAUAUAUAGUUAACCAUAAGUAAAAUACUUAAUCCUAAUUAAUGAAUUAGGUAACUUGCUAUUUUUAUUUCUCUUAUAUUAUUUGUGAUGAUAUAAAAAAAGAAGAUGAUAGUUAAAAAUUUUGGAUGAAAUGGUAACAGUAAGGAUAUUUUGAAAUAACGAAAAAAUAUAUAAGGGGUAUAAUGGAAAGAAAAAAAAAGGUAAAUAAAAUAUUUUCAAAAUUUUCAGAGAUAUAUAUAGAUAAUUAUUUUUUUUUAAUUAUAUAUGUCAAUAAUAAAAUAAUAAACGAGGAGGAGUGUUUUGGAGACCCUAAAACAGAAAAGUCAUUUGGAAUUGACUUAGAUAUAAGAUUCCUUUGGUACAAUUUUUUAACCUAUAUGUAACCCUAACUCUCUUUGUUGAAACAUAGAGAGAGAGAGAGAGAGAGAGAGAAUGGUGGAGAUAUUGGAGUCAUGCUUAGUAGCUCCAAGUGAGGAGACCCCAAAGCAUGGGCUAUGGCUCUCGAACCUCGACCUCGCCGCGGCCCCGGGCCACACGCCGACGGUCUACUUCUACCGCCCCAGCGGUGACCACAACUUCUUUUCUGUGGAGGCGGUCAAGGCGGCGCUUUCUAAGGCCCUGGUGCCUUUCUACCCCCUGGCGGGCCGUCUCGGUGUCGGCCGGGACGGCCGCGUCGAGAUCGACUGCAACGCGGAGGGCGCGCUCUUCGUCGCGGCACGGUGCGAUUACACCGUCGACAGCUUCAGAGAGUUCGAGCCGUCGCCGGAGACGAGGAGGCUGUUCGUGCCGACCGCGGACUCCGCCGAUCCCCCCUUGGUCAUGCUCCAGGUUUCUUCGCAUAUCACUUAUAAAUAUAUGGAGCGCGCUAACAAAAUAAAUUUGAGAGACAAAUCUUUAAAUGAAAAGAAUAAUAAAUGACGGCAUGAACAAUAAUAAAAAAUAAAAAACUGAUGCUAAAUUAUAUAUAAAAAAUUUUAGAUUACUCAACAUAUAGUUUGUCGAAUAUUCAUUUUAGUAUUCUUUAGUUUUAACUUUAUCAAUGAUUUAAUAAAAAAAAUUAAUGAAUAGAAUAACAAAAAGAGAAAAAUAAAACUAUAAAAUACACAACUGAUACGAAAGUGAGAAAAUGCGAAACCACAGGGGAGAUAUUUGAAGUUUUUCUUACAAAAAUUAUUUGAAUUAUGAUAUAAAUCAAAAGAGUGAUCGACGGUUGAGAUUAAUCUUCUUUUUUUUUAAAAAAAAAGAAGAAGAACCUUGUACCUGGUACAUGCAUCAGAGUAAACUAUGUAGAACUUUCAAUUUAUUAAUACUGUAUAGUUAGGUAUUAUAGUCUCAUUUUACCACAUAAUAAUACAUAUGAAUCAGCACUUCAUACUGUUAAAUAUAAAAUAUAAUAUUCGAAGUUCUUAAGAUGUAAAUUUUAAAAAUUUGUAAACUUUUUUUGGUGUAUCGAAUACAAGGGACAUGGUAGUCCCAUCAUAAUUAAAAAAUAAUUUAUUAUAGUACAACUGUUAUUUAAUAGUGGGAACAUUUAUAUGUAGUUGAGUAUACUUGUUUAGUAUAGCUUCUAUAUAUAUUUAUCUAUAGUUCCAUUUAUUUGCUAGUGUCUUUAAUUAGUAAGAGAAAAUUUUGAAACACCUCCCACUAGAUCUACCAGCAUAUAUAAGCUCCUAAUUUCCUAAUUUAAAGCUUUUAAUAAAAUAUAUUUUAAGAAAAAUCAUUAAUAAGACAAUUUAAAUAAUAAUAUUUUAAAUAAUACUAAUAUGUCACAAUAAAAAUGCAUUUUGUUUUAUCAAAAAUGGAGAUGCUGGUACAGUGAUUCUCGUUUGCAAAUACUUAUUUUCGUUGUUUGAUGCAGUAUAAUUUCACCUUGGAUCAAAAUUCAAAAUUUUCAAAGCGACUCAGUUCUAUCCUAGGCUGAAGUCAAUUAUAAUAAAAAAAAUAAAAGUAAGAAAAAAAGUAAUUAUUAAUUCAUCUUCGGUACCUCGAGUUUUACGUCGAUCAUUUUUGGCUAAAUAAAUUACAAAAUUGAAAAAAUUUUAAUCCCACAGAUAUACAAAUGUUCUGAUUCUUUUUAAAGUUGAUGGUGCUUAUCCUUCUAUUGUAAACGCUAAAAUAUAUUAAGAAAAUGAAUAUAUUCGUGUGCAACCACGUAACAGCAUCUAAAAAUAGUGGCUUAAUUGGGGGAACCCCAAAUUUGACCAAAGCAAAAGUAAUAUUCUAAGUUCCAAUGAUUCGUAGGAACUAAUUCUUUUUUUAUUUGUGGAAACUUAGAAGAACUAAGUCGCGUCACGUCUCUGGCGCAACGAAAAAGUAAAGUUAUUUUCGAACAUAAAUACUCACAUUAUAAAUUAAAUUAUCUAUUUCAUAUUUUUUAAUUAUUAUUACUGACUUUGUCGUGUAUAGUAACUGUAUUAAUUACAAUAAAUUAAAAUUUGUGGGCUACAAUAUAUCCCCAGCCUCAUAUAUAGUUUAAUUAUCAAACACGCAAUUUAUCCUAAAAAUUACUUUGGAAUUAUAGUUAAUGUUUGCGUAUAGAAUUAUGUCACGUCUCUGUGACAACGAAAGUAAUUGUCACAGUAACUUUUAAUAAUUUGGAUGUACUUUAUCUAGUUUUGUGGCGCAAAUUGUGAUAGGCAUUAGGAUAAUGCUAAAGAUAAGGAUGAUGUAUGCAUCAGAGAGGGAAUUUAUGUUUACGAUAUUUAAAAUUUGAGGUACCUAAAUUUACUUUUUAUUUUGUUUAAUUACAUCAACUAUUUUUCUCAUUAAUUGAUCUCAAAAUGAAAGGAUUUUCAACAUAAACAAUUUAAAAAAAAUAAAUAAUACAAUUUCUUAGUUUAAAAAAAAUGUCACAAGUUGAUAAGGUCUCAAUUUUUUUUAAAAAAAAUUGUCAAGUUAUAUUUCUAGUCGAUCUCUAUGCAGUUUUAUUUUACCUUAUUUUAAUUUUUUGAGUGCCCAGCUAAUAAUGUGUUGGUCCCAAACUUUUUAUUAUUCAUAUAUAUUUAUGGGACAAAAGGCGCUAAUAAAUGCUGCGGUUCUUUGGUGCCCAUAAAGAAUUGAUUGUAUAAGGAGCUUAAUGGCGAAAUAACAAUAAUAAUAAAAAAAAUUAUUGUGGUUUGCACUCUAUAAGCUUCGCGAGUGGUCCGUGCUAUAUAUGUAGAAUUUACCUUGUCAAAAUCUAGACCAAAUAAACCCUUCUACUAAGAGCAGUGUUAUUCUCAUCGAAUCGACGCGCUCCGGCGAUAGGGGGGCUCACAGUUUACAGUGUGGGUCCGAACCCCCUGAUCAAUGGUUCUCGUCGAUUCGAAUAGAAUUUAUCUUAUUCUGAACCAAAUACGUAGGGGGCAGUUUAAAUUUGACAUGCAGGUUCAGUUAUAGUUUUCGUAGCUGUCUAAUUUAAAUUUGAAUUUGAAAUCAAAUCUACAAAACUUGAAUUUCGAUUCGAGCUGUACUAAUAAGAGAAACUAAAAGCCCGGGUCGGGCUCAGAUUUUCUGAGCCUCUUAUAUUCGGAACUGGAAGAAGGCUUCUAGUUUCGAAAAUACCUAACAUAUAUUUCAAUUUUUCGAUUCUAAGCAACUGAGCUAUUUUGCCGAGCUCUCUUAAGCUGAGAGAAGUAACAUGCAGGUGACAUUCCUAAAAUGCGGCGGGGUGGCCUUUGGAACUGCGAUGCACCACUUCGCCACCGACGGGCCCAGCGCUUUCCACUUCAUCCAAACAUGGGCCAGCCUCGCCCGUGGGGAGGCCGCCGACGCCCUCCCCCCGCCCUUCCUCGACCGCACCCUCCUCCGCCCCCGCUCCCCUCCCUCCGUCGUCUUCCACCACCCCGAAUACUCCCCCGACACAUUCUCCGCCCGCUCGACCGCGCCUUACGUCGCCGCAAUCCUCAAGCUCUCCAAAGGCCAGAUCGCGCUCCUCAAGAGCCGCGCCAGCGGCGGUGGUAGCGGCUACGCCGUGUCGACGUUCCGCGCGGUCACCGCCCACGUGUGGCGGUGCUUGUGCGUCACCCGGAAGCUCGCCCCGGACGCGCAGACGCGACUCUACCUGCCUGCUCAAAUUCGCAACCACGUAAAACCCCCACUCCCGCAGCACUACUUUGGCAACGCGUUGAUCCGCGUAUCGGCGGUCACGACGGUCACAGAACUUGUGAACGGCUCUCCGUCAUUCGCGGUCGAAAAGAUCAAGAGUGCCGUCGAUAAGGUAAACGAUGUUUACGUGAGGUCGGUCAUCGACUACUUGGAGCUGCAAGGCAAAAGAUGCAUGUCGGCGAGGAACGGAGUUAGGGAUACGGAUCUGUGGGCGAUCAGCUGGCUCGGGAUGCCGAUGUACGACGCCGACUUCGGGUGGGGGCUCCCGCAGUUCAUGGCGCGGGCGCAGCUCUACUCCAGCGGCUUCUUGUACGUGACGAGCAGCCCCGGGAAGGACGGCGGAGUGACGGCAGUGCUCGGAUUGGAGACCGAAAACAUGCACCGGUUCAAGGACUUGUUCUACGAGGAACUUUCAUGCUUGCAGUGUUAAAAAAAAAAAAAAAAAGAGAAAAAAAAAAAGGUUACAACAUUGCUGUGCUAGUUCCAAUUUGGGCUUGUUUCGAUGUCAGAACAAGUUAUUUAUCUGGUGAUAGCUUGUGUGUUACUUACGAGUUUAAUUUCGAGCUUACUAUGUAUCAAAAGUUUAAGAAUACUACAUUUUCAAUUGUUACUGAUUAAACCGAACCGAUCGAAAUGACAAUUUGGUUUAAACUGAAUAAUGCUCGUUGUUUCCUACGAUUGCGGGCUUAGGAAGGGUCCAAUCUCUACUUGCUUGGGCUCGAUUAAAUUACGCGUUGGGCCGAAUGAUGCUCCGCAAAAUAAUGCAGCCCAUUUUAGUUGGAACAAGUAUUAUUAGAUUUUACGCGCAAAUAUAAAAAAGAGUAAUACUAUUUGUACACUUACUAGUGCGGUACGAAUUUUGUACUCUACUUAUCCAAAUGCUAGUUGUACACCUACUAAUAUACUUGUUGUACAUCCCAUACAAGAGAGUACAGAUUACACGUACCCUUGAGUCCAAAGAAAAAAAUCCAAAUUAAUUUUAGUAAAUAAUAAUAAUAAUACUAAGACUAGUUAGUAGAUUUUAAUCAUAUGAAUACUAGGUUGUACAUCUUACACUACCAUAGAUGUACAGGUAACAUUGCUCAGAUUUAAAAACUUUUUUUGAAUUAGUAGUAUAAAAAAAAAUUGAUCAUAAGAUUAAGGAGUAAAUAUAAGUCUUUUGAUAGCUAAAAUAUGAGAUUUAUAAUCAUAUAGCUAUAUAUACACCUAGUACAUAGGUGUAAAUCUUACGCCGCUUUUCCUCAGAAGGUUAGGAUAUUGCGACUUGUCAUAUCAAAUUUUUGAAAAAAUACUAAAAAAUCUUAAUAACUUUUGUAAACAUUUCGAUCUAAAAGUGUGAGACAUAUGCCAGGUGUUCUAUGUCACACUCGCACCACAUCACCUAUGUCCUAAAUUAAUCAAAUCUAUCCUUUUCAGAUAAAAGUAUAAAUUUUUAAAAAACAUAAAUUAUAUGGUAUCGAUGAACGCCAAGGACACGAAAAAGUCUAAAAUGUCGCAGUUACACAUAUAACCAUUCAAUCAAAUUCAACAAACCUUUAAAAUUUAUCCACCCUAUCAUGAUUUUUAAAAUAUUUUUUAUCUAUUCUUACCUCUAAAGAAAAAAUAUGAUUGGUUUGGGAUAUAGAUGGCGUGAUAUAAACGUGACAUUGUAAAUCACCUCUUGAGGCUGUGUUUGGAUCGGGAACAAGGACGAGAAUAAGCCCUUGUUUCCCACCUUUGUUCCCAAAUAUAAAUUUUCGUACUUAAGAACAUUAAUUCUCUGGUUCCUGCAAUAAGCUGGUAUAACUCAGUACAAAUUUGAAACUAUUGUUCCAUCAUUUUUUCUGGAACAAGAUUGCUCCCAAGUGGGAAAAAGGUUAUUUAAAGUCUAAAUUUAAUUUUAAUUAUGAUAUUAAAUUAUUAAUUAAUCUAAUUAUUAUAUUUAAAUCAUUAUCAAUUACUUAAAUAAUAAAGUAAUUAAUUAAAUUAUUACUUAUAAUUAAUUACAUAAUUAAUUAUUAAUAAUUUAAUGUGAUUAUUCAUAAACUAAUAUUUAUAUUGAUCAAUCAUUAAUAUUUUUAUUAAUAUAAUUAAUUUUUUUUACUAGUUAUCAACUAAAAUAAUUUACUAACCAAUUAAAAAGUUAAAUUAUUUUUUAUAAUUAAUUAAUUAAUUAACAUAUUUUUAUUUUCUUAUAUAAUAUUCAUAACUAAUAAAAUUAUUAAUUUAGUAAAUUAUUUUUAAUUAACAUUUUAAUAUAAAUUCAUUAGAUAAAAUAUUUUAAAUUUAAAAUUAUAAUUCUUAUUUCUCUCGUUCCAAUCUACCUAUUCAAAUAUUAUUUAUCUUAUUCUCAGGAACAAUUUAAUUUUCUUUCAAAUACAAAAUUUGUCUAGUUUCUAUUUAUAUCUGAACUUAUAUCUAUUUCUAAAAUUAACAGUCUUAUUUAUAUCCGAACAAAACGCAGUCUUAAUAAGAAUAUAUAAUUUGAUUGGCUUGGGACAUGGGUAAUAUGAUGCGACAGUAGUAUUUUUGGCUGUUUCCUACGAUGCAUAAACAAAUAGUACAUUUCUUGAAAUUCGGUCACUAUACUAUCGAUAGUACAAGCAUAGUUUAUCUGGUCAGUAUCGAUUUUUUGUACUUGUUUUAAUGCGAAAGGUUACAGUGAUUGGUGGGAGUUGCGGUUGUGACGUUUCCACGUGUCCAAUAAUGUACAUGUUUGGUCACAUUCAAAUUAAAGUUUGUGAGGGACCUCUCAUUGGACCUUGUGAUGCAAUCAUUUGAAAAAAAAAGAACAAAUUAUUUUUCUUAGUAUUAGUAUAUUUGGAAAGGGCUGGGGAGUUUAAGGGGUAUUUCGCCAAGCCUUUAAAAAACGUUUUUGGGUUGAAAAAUAAUUUUCUGCUCAACAGAGCGUUUGACAACUCCACUUUUAAAACCUGAUUCUGCUUUUUAAAAUUAGAAAACUGAUUUUGAAAACACCAGAAUCAGAAGCUGAAAAAAACUGCUUCUUAAAAUCUGAUUCUGAUUUUAGACUCAAACUUCAAAAUUUUAUUUUAAUUUUAAAUUCAAUAUUUAAGUUUAAAUUNCCCACACAAUCUUAAAUUCGUAACCGAAAUACGAGAGAACAAAAACUUAGCGUCUUAAGAUCCAUCACCAAACACAUAUUGCGAUCAAAAAUAGAGAACACAUGCGAGAACACAAACUGCUUAAAUACUAAUACCCGAGUAAAGAGGAGAGAUGAGCGAUCCUACCACCUGUCCCCCUCGGAGGCCCCGACGCUCCUCCCGUAGCGGUUCCCCCCCUCGUAGCCGCCUCCGUAGCCACCGCGGGACUGGGCCUCGUUCACGGUGAUGCUCCUCCCGUCGAGGCUCUUCCCAUUCAUCCCCUCGAUCGCGUCCCGCAUCGACUGCUCGUUGGCGAAGGUGACGAACCCGAACCCCCUCGACCUCCCCGUCUCCCGAUCGUUGAUGAUCUGCACCCCCGAUUAGCAAAUCUCAACGAUCCGAUCCGCGAUCAACAAGCUCAGAUCCAGAUCUCGUAGUCUCAGAUCUCAGAUCUCAGAUCCACGAGAUCUGGAUCUCAAAUCCACACCAAAAUCAAAUCGAAACAGGGAAAAGGGAUUAGGGAUCAGGGAUCGAACCUUAGACUCCAGGAUCUCACCAAAGGGUCGGAACGCCUCCUCGAGGGUGUGGCUAUCGGUGGCCCACGCGAGGCCGCCGACGAAGCAGCGGAACUCCACCUCGGUCGUCGCCAUAGAAACCCUAGAUCGGACGUACGACAGAGAAGGGAGAAUCGGGGAGAGGGGGAGGAGAUCCAACCCACCUCUAUCAGAGCACGAGAGGAAAGAAGAAACCCAAACCCUAGAUUUAUAGAUCAGAGGCCCGCGGUAAAGUUACCCCACUCCGCAUACGAUCACCGCCGUUCCUUAUCGUCAACACAGCGUCGCGUGCGGAUCGUGCGGUGGAGAGUGGGGGAGUAGAGGACUAUUAACUUGCGCCGCGGAGUACGGGACCCACUCCCGUGGAAUAUACGAGAAUAACUAUCUCUAGUAACGUCUACGGAAACAUCCCAAGAACAAGUCGAAGAACCGUUUCUAUUGGACCAACGUGGCAACACGCGAUAUUUGGACCAAUGGAAAGUGAGUUAUUUAAAACAAUCUUCGCAUUUUGCGUCGGCGUGUUAAGCGAAUAUCGGAUGGUUUACUUUUCUUUAAAAAGUGAGCUGUACACUAGCGCGCGCGUGAUACAAGGACAGUUUCUAUGCGGAACUCCGUAUAGUGCAACUUUUAGGAAGCGGGCGUGGCCGUUGAAUUGUGCUUCGUGGGUGUAUAUGGAGGGCAUCUAAGCGAAAGGCAUAGACUCUCUAUGCGGACCUGCGCAUAGAAGUAUUUGGUCGUUAGAUACAUUGUUCGGGGUUGGGGUGAGGCAAAAAUAUCUAACGAGUGGAAUUACUGUCUUAGCCCUGGAAUAAAUGUUUCAUCGUUAUCCUUCACCCGUAGACCGACAUAAUGGCGGACACGCGGCAGGCGUUGACAGGUUGAAGAGAAUGCGGACUUGGUUCACCACGUCAUCUUGAGAUGUCCCGGAAUCCGAAUCCGAUUAACGGUGUGUUCUGUCUAAUUUUUAAAAAAUAAUUUUGGAUUAAAAAAUAAUUUUCCAUUCAAUAGAGAUUUGUCAAUCUUAUUUCUAAAAUAUGAUUUCGAAGAAAAUAUGAUUUCGAAGGUUCCUGAGAAGCAAAAAUAAAUUGCUUCUUAAAAUCUGAUUCUGAUUUUGAACUCAAACUUUAAAUUUUUAUUUUAAUUUUAAAUUCAAUAUUUAAAUUUAAAUUUAAUUUUAAAUUUUAAUUUUCAUAUUUAUUUUUAAAUUUUUAAUUUUCAUAUUCAUUUUUAAAUUUUUAAUUUUUAAUUUAUAAAUUUUAAAUUUUGAAAAAUAGAUUGCAAACUUUAAAUUUUAAAUUUUAAUUUUUAAAUUUUAAAUCUCAAAUUUUAGAUUUUAAAAUUUUAAAUUUUAAGUUUUAGAUUUCAAAUUUACGAUAAAUUUUAAAAUUUGAUAUUUUAGAUUUUAAAUUUUAAAUUUAAACAUUUAAAAGUUUUAAAUUUUAAAUUAUAAAAUUUAAUCUUCAAUUUAAAAAUUUCAAAAUUUUAAAAUUUAAAUUUUAAAUUUUUAAAUUUUGAAUAUUCCAAUUUUAAAUUUUAAAUUUCAAAUUUCAUACUUAUUUUAAAUUUUAAAUUUCAUAAUUAUUUUAAAAUUUAAAUUUUAAAUUCUAAAUUUAAUUAUUUUUAAAUAUUAAUGUUUUAUAUUUUAAAUUUCGUAAUUAUUUAUAUUUUUAAAUUUAAAUUUAAACUUUUAAAUUUCAAAUUUACUUUUAAAUUUUAAUUUUUAAAUUUCAUUAUUAUUUAUAUUUUUAAAUUUAUAUUUAUGUUUUUAAAUUUUAAAUUUUUAAAAUUUUAAAUUAUUUUUAAAUUAAAAUAUCAAAUUUUAAAUUUUGUACAAUUUUGAAAAUUAAAAAUUUUAAUUUUAAUUCAAGUUUAAAUUUAGUUUUUAAAUUAUUUUAAAAUAAAAUUUAAUAAAAAUAUUAAUUUAUGCAAAUAUCAAAAAAAAUUCGCCAAACUGUUUUUCAAAAUCGCUUUAGAAAAAUCGUUUUUAUCUAAACUCAGCCAAAUGCUCUACACCUUUUAACCAAAAUCAUUUCUGCAAACUAAAAUUACUUUUUCAGAAGCUAGGCCAAACGGGCCCUAUCUGCACCAUUAAUAGAUUAUUAUGUGCACAAUUUAAUUAAUUAAUUUUGUCACAUAGUUGGGAACACGCACUUUUUUAUGCAACAUAUUUUUUUUGGGUACUGAUAUUUUCAAAAAAUUCUAUACUCGCAUAUAAGAGAUGCUAUUAUUUAUAUAUAAAUUAACUAUGAAAAUAGGAUUUUCUUUUUUAAAUUAUAUUAAUUUAUUGACGCAUGCAUACCCAUAAAUUAAAAAUACUCCUAAUUAGAAAAGAGCUAAUGAAUUAACAAUUCGAAAAUUAUUGGUAAACAAACUAGUUUGUUAAAUUUACUAGUUUUUUAUGAUAUAAAUUUGAUCAAAUUUGUUAAAUAAAAAUUAGAUUCUAAAAAAUUUUGUAAUCAAACUUUUUUAAGAAAAAAAGGGCAAUUGUUCUUUUUAAUAUGAAUCGUGAUCGUGGUUGGUGGGAGUUGCGGCUGUGAUGAGUUACACGUGUGAAAAAAUGUUUGGUAAAAUACAAAUUAAAUUUAGGCCGUUGAUCAUAGCCUCUCAAAGGUGGAUAACCUCAUUUAAAAAAUAAUAAUAAAUAAAAAUUUGUACAUUUGAACUCAAUUUUUUUUUAUUCUGAUACCAUAUUAAAAAAUAUGAAACAACUAAUCAUUAAUCUUCAAUAGCUUAAGCUGUCAACAAAUUGUAUUUUGACGCCAUAUUAAAGAAUAUGAAGUAGCUGCAAUUUCCAAUAGUUUAAGCUGUGAACGAAUGUUAUUAUUUUUUUUUUUGAGAGAGAGAUAGGUAGUACGCUACUCGCUUCGUUUAUUUCAUUUAGAAAUAAACUUAGUUAGAAAUGUGAAUCAACUAGGAUUCGAAUUUGGGUCUCGGAUACCAACCACCAAAUCCUUUGCCACUAACUCUAUAGACGGUCGGUAACGAACGUUAUUUUUACUGCAAGGAGCAUUGAGGAACUCGAAAUAAGAAUCUCCUGUUCUAAUGCCAAUAUUAAAGAAUAUGAAACAAUCAUUAAUCUCCAAUAGCUUAAGUUGCCAGCGAAUGAUACUUUAAUACCAUAUUAAAGAAUGUAAAAAAAGUUGUUAAUCUCCAAUAGCUUAAGCUGGUGGCGAACGGUAUUUUUAAUGCAAGGAGCACUGCAGAACUCAUAUUCACGACUUCCUACGUACCCUAAUAACAUAUUAAAGAAUGUGAAACGAUUGUUAAUCUUUAAUAGCUUGAGCCGUCAGCGAAUUGAAUUUUGCUAUCUAUUCGUUCAUUUUCGGUAGCUUAAAUUGCCAACGAACAAUAUUUUUAAUGCAAGAAUUAUUGCGGGAUUCAAACUCAUGACAUACUAUUCUGAUACUAUAUUAAAAAAAUAUAUAAAAUAACCGUUGAUCUUCAAUAGCUUAAGCAGCGAGCGAAACAAAGAUGCAAAGAGCAUAUUGCAAACAAAGUAAAAUAAAAAUUUUCCAUUAUUGUACAUGAACAUAAAUUUCCAUGGCCUAGCAUUUUUGAAAAUUAAAAAUAUACAAACAUGAAUUCAUGUGUUUAUGUGACGCCCCAACUUCCCAGGGGGUCACACAUCCUAGGACUACUCCUGUCCCAGCACGCUUAACUCUCUUAACCUCUUGGGCCUUGCCACCACUCAACAUGCUUAAGCUGGGUUAAGAGUUUAGCCCUAUUAUAUCUCAUAUAUAGGACUACCCGGGGUCUCACAAUCUCCCCCCCUUUACGCCCUGACGUCCUCGUCAGGCUCAAACUCACAAGUACCAGGCGAUGUGAGACUUGUCUCGCUAGCCCGUCAUCCAGACCCUGGCUCAGCCGAGACUCAUCUCACACUUCCGGCUGGUAAUUGGCUCUGAUACCAUCUGUGAUGCCCCAACUUUCCAGGAGGUCACCCAUCCUAGGACUACUCCCGUCCCAGCACGCUUAACUUUCUUAACCUCUUGGGUCUUGCCACCAUCCAAAAUGCCUAAGCCGGGUUAAGAGUUUAGCUCUAUUAUAUUUCAUAUAUAGGACUACCCGGGGUCUCAUAGUUUAUUUAGUCAAUUUCUAGUGGAAAAUGUUAACUAAUUAGUACUACCCACGUAACAUGCAUGUGUUCUAUAAAUAAACUAAUGAAAAGUUAGUGGAUUUGCCUCCUCAACGUGUCAUAAACUUAUAAUAAACUCCUCCUCAAAGGACACAAAAAUUGAAAUAAAAGAUUAUAAAAUAGAGUAAAAUAUUUGCAAUAAUUUUAUUUAUGUAUUUUUCCUUCAAGUUGUCAUUUGUCGUCUUAUUAGUUGGACAUUAAUGAGAUGCAAUUAAAAUGGGCCCAUUUUGCCCUUAAAAUAAUGGCAAAUAAAAGAGCACCACUAAAUUGUGAAAUGUGAACAUGCAUGCGAAACAUUAUUAAGAUUAAUUCUAUAGAAUCAUCUAAAUUUUUUUGGCUUAUUUGCGCAUAUACAGCUGUUAAAACUUUAAAAAUUUUAUGUUUCUCACCCAAAUUUUUAACUUUGUAUAUUUUUCAAUUGACCAUCUAAAUUUUUAUUUUACUAAUUUAAAGUUCUCUUAAAAAAAAAUGAACGUUAUACGCCAAUAAUAUUGGAGGAUCUUGUUGACGUUGAAAUUUAUUCUUUCAAUAAAAAAAAAGUAAUAUUUUACUAUUAAUUACUAAAAGUAAAUGUUAAUAAUUAUAUUUAGGUGAAAGCUUUAAAAUUUAGGUAGCUGUAUGUAAAUGGGCGAAAAAUCGGUGUUUCUGGCGCAUUUAAAUUUUUGUUAACCUCUUGCGUGACGCCCUACAUUUCAAGAGAUCAUACAUUCUAGGACUAUUUAGGAUCUUACAUUCUUCCCUCUCUUUAAGCCUUGACGUUUUCGUCAGGCUCAGAAUCACAAAUAUCAAGCGAUAUGAGACUUAUCUCGCUAAUCUUAACCGACCUUGUGAGGGAGCCGCGCUAGCUCUACUCACAGCAGUUAUCAGCAUGAGAGUUUCGCUCUACACACGCUGUAUAAUCUGACUAAGUUGAGGCUCAUCUCACGUUUUCAGCUGAUAAUUGGCUCUGAUACCAAUAGCUAGCGACACCCUACUUUUCAGAAGUCACUCAUUCUAGAACUAUCUGAGGUCUCACAUUUUGAUUCUCUAAAACGCUACUCUUAGGACGAAUUGACCUGCAUACUAUCAAAAAUUUUAAUUAGUUUGUGAAUACAACGUUAAAUAUAAAAUAAAACCACUUUCGUUGGUUUAAAUUUUUAAAGAUAAUUAAUUGUUUGAUAUGAUAUUAGAACAAUUAUUAUCAGAUCCGCAAAUUAAUUUCAGUUCCACGUUCCACAAAUAUAAAAAACAAAAAUAAAAUGCUAAUAAUAAUAAAAAAAGAAUAUAUCGUGUGAGCGUGACAAUGACUACGACGAUUUAAUUAUUAAAUUAUUGUGUAUAUCGCAUGUACGUAGUUAACUAUGUGACAAAAAUUAAUCAUACACCAAUUAAAAAUUGUGGCAUAUGACAAAAUCACACAUAAAUUAAAGUGUAGGCACGGUCACAUUUUUGUAUUUUAGGUAUAUAUGUAAAUUGAUAAACAAUUUAACAUAUCAUCCAUCUCGUGAUUGUGAAUCAUAGGAGUACUAAUAUAUUUUUUUUUGCUACACUUUUUUUUUUCGAAUAAACUAAAAUAAAAAUUUUAGACUAUAUAUAUAUAUAUAUAUAUAUAUAUAUAUAUAUAUAUACAAAAUAUUUUUGGUUUAGCAUUUUUGAAAAUAAAUAAAUAAAUGCAUGCGUUCAUGCGUUUAUUUUAUUCAAUUUAUAGUGGUGAAUAAAUAAGAGUUUUUAUAAAUUAAUGAAAAGUUAGUGAAUUUUCCUCCUCGGACGUGUCAUGAUAAACUCCUCAAAACACUCAAAAUGGAAAUGAGAAAUUAUAAAUAGAAUAAUUAUAUUGUCCAUAGUUUUUAUUUAUUUAUUUAUUUAUUUUUCUUUCAAGUUGUUACUUGUCUCAUUGUGACAUAUAUUCAUUUAUUAAUUAGAAAUUAAUGCGAUCCAACUUGGAUCGCAUUAAUGGUGAAGGAUUUUUACAUAUUGGAAAAAAAGAAAAAAAAAAGAAAAAAAAAAGAAAAGAAAAAGAGCACCACUAUGUUGUGGUUCUACAGUGGAACAAUGGAAAACAUAAAUUAAGAUAUAUUUUUGUUCACUUUAAUUCUACAAAAUAUUUCUUAUUAUUUACAAGACAAAUUUCUCAAUUAAUAACUUUAUUUGAGAAAGACUUAUUUAAUUAGUUGCUAAAGUUAAAAAAAAAUUAAGAUGACGGUUAAUAAAAAUGUGCUAAAAAUAUAUAAAAAAAAUAUUAUCUCAAUUAUUGCCUAUUUGGAUUUAGCUAUCUAAUUUUUAAAAUUUUUAAUUUAACUACCAGACUUUUUAAUUUAUUUGAUUUAAUAAAUUUGUGACUUUUUAACUUCAAGACUUGGAUACAAUGUUUAUCUUUACAAAUUUAAUUAGUAUAUUUUAUAUAAUUUAUUUAAUUAUAAAUUUAUUAAAAUAAAUAAUUAUUUUAAAUUUUAUAUUAGAAUAGCCAUCAAAUUUUUUAAAUCAACAAAUUGAAAGAUUAGAUACUGAAAUUAAAAUUUUAAAGAUUGGAUAAUCGAAUUAAAAUGGUCAAUAGUGUGGUUCAAAAAGCGCUAACCAGCUAUUCCAAAAGUACGCACCGAUAAGAAUGAGACAUUCAUCGCACUUAAGUACUCAGGCUUAAAUCUUAAGCUACCCCAAAAAGUACGUGCUGAUAAAAGGGCGCAUCCAUCGCAAGCUCAGCCUUUAAGCACUCAGGUAUAGUGCUCACGUGUUUCGACCUGACUCAAUCCAUCUCGUCGAUGAAUCGAUUAUUGGAUAUCUUACCAUUAGGUCUAAUUGUGAACUAUAUUUUUACUAAAGAUAUUGGGCUUAAUACAACUCAAUUUAUUAGCGCCCUAAAUUUAUUAUUAAGAAAUAAAAAAAUUAAAUAUAGUGCAUUCAACAAAUACUUUCUAAAAGUUUUAUAUAUUUUUACCUAAAACUGACAGAGUUCUAAUCUUAUAUAGGUAAAAAAAAAAAAAAAAAAGGCAUUAAAUGUGAAAGGGUCUUUGAUUUGUCCCAUCCUUGUAAAUGUCCAUAUCAAAUAUCAAAUAAUCAAAACAAUGGAUCCCACAAAAGUUGAAUUUUAAUCAAUUUAAGAUAACCAAUAAAUAGAUUAGCAACUGUAUAAGUUUAGAAGGCAAAAUUAUACUAAACUUAUUUGAAUUAUAGACUAUUUUGAAUCAACUAUUUAAUCUUUUAAAAUUUUAAUUUAUUAUGCAAUCUCUUAAUUUGUUUGAAUUUAGUCGGUCAGCAGCACUUUGACUUCAAAUUUGAAUGAAUCGUUUAUUUUUACAAAUUUAAUUAUAUACUGUAUAUAAUUAUGGUAAAUGUAAAUUCAAUAAAGUAAGAAUUAGCUUAAAUUUUAAAGUCAAAUUUUAAAGCAAUUAAGAAUUAGCUUAAAUUUAAUAAAUUAAAAGAUUGGAUAAUAAAAUCAAAUUUUUAAAAGACCACCAAAUCUGGUCGAUAGCAGUACUUUGAGACUUGCAUAUAUAAUUUUGUAAAAAGUUUGAAACAGAAAGAAAAUUAUUUUAUAUUCUAGUACAAAAAAUAAUAAUAAAAUUAGAUGGAUCAAUGUGGUUCUACGAUAAGUUCUGGUGCUUAAUUAUCAUAAAUAAAAGAGAAGAAACACCAUUUUUUGUUUGAAAUUUUGAAAAAUUAUGUGUAAACUAAGAAACCAAAACAGUAGUGUAAUUAAUAAGCUCUAGAGAGUUGCUUAUUAAAUUAUUUGAUAACUAUUCAAAGGUCUAAUUUUUCAAAAUUAAAAGUAUAAAAAUCUAGUUGCAAAAAUAUUAGAGGCCUUUCAUAAAUGUUAUUUUUACUGAAGUUCUGCACGUAAUUAUCAAAACUAAAAGGGAGUGUAUAUAUAUAUAUAUAUGGUCCGCUACUUACAUUAUGUAGUACGAUCACUCUCGGUACUCAUAAAGUUUGUUUCGAUAUAGAGCCUUCGCAAUCGAUGAUCGCACACCGUUAAACGUUAAUUUACAAUCAUGUAAGAACUUCUUAAAAUUCAAAUUUUAUACAUUUUUCGACAUCAUUUACCCUUAGCGGUCAAGAGGUCACAAAUUU